AUUGAACGCUGGCGGCAGGCCUAACACAUGCAAGUCGAGCGGAUGAAGGGAGCUUGCUCCAGGAUUCAGCGGCGGACGGGUGAGUAAUGCCUAGGAAUCUGCCUGGUAGUGGGGGAUAACGUCCGGAAACGGGCGCUAAUACCGCAUACGUCCUGAGGGAGAAAGUGGGGGAUCUUCGGACCUCACGCUAUCAGAUGAGCCUAGGUCGGAUUAGCUAGUUGGUGGGGUAAAGGCCUACCAAGGCGACGAUCCGUAACUGGUCUGAGAGGAUGAUCAGUCACACUGGAACUGAGACACGGUCCAGACUCCUACGGGAGGCAGCAGUGGGGAAUAUUGGACAAUGGGCGAAAGCCUGAUCCAGCCAUGCCGCGUGUGUGAAGAAGGUCUUCGGAUUGUAAAGCACUUUAAGUUGGGAGGAAGGGCAGUAAGUUAAUACCUUGCUGUUUUGACGUUACCAACAGAAUAAGCACCGGCUAACUUCGUG
rnacentral:rRNA from 1 species